UCGAGAAUCUUCGGCAAUGGGCGCAAGCCUGACCGAGCGACGCCGCGUGCGGGAUGAAGGUCUUCGGAUUGUAAACCGCUGUCGGAGGGGAUGAAGUGUACGGGGGCUAUCCCCUGUAUUUGACAGAGCCUCGGAGGAAGCACGGGCUAAGUUCGUGCCAGCAGCCGCGGUAAUACGAACUGUGCGAACGUUAUUCGGAAUCACUGGGCUUAAAGGGUGCGUAGGCGGUUUGUUAAGUCAGGUGUGAAAU
rnacentral:rRNA from 1 species